AAUUCAAAUUUUGAAAAUAACAAAUACAUAAAAGUCAAAUCAAACGAAAAACAUAAAUCAAAAAUAAUUUGAGCACUGAUUUUUGAUCUUUUGAAGAAAAAGAAAUUAAUUGGAAUUCAAGAAGAUGAGUAUUGGUGAAGGCUUCGUCAACCUACAUAUACUCAGUUUAUGAAUCUAGAAGAAGGUACAUCGUCGACCUCGAAAGUAGCUCGUACAACUGUGAAAGGUUUCAAAUAAAUCAGAUAUCUUGUCUUCACGCUAUUGUUGUUUUGAAGUCUAAGCAUGUAAAAGUUUUGGGUUGUACUGCUUAGAUUACUACAAGCUGAGCACUUUGGUGAAGACAUUGAAAUGUUUCUAACAGUGUAGAUAAGGAAGAAGCUUUGUCUCCGAUUUAUAAAAGGCUGCCAGGAAGAUCGGAGAAAGGGAGAAAGAAAAAAUCAAACAAAACACUUUCAUAAAGUAUAAAUUAUUGUGGACAGUGCAGACAUGAGGGGCACAAUGAAUGUUCAUGUAACUUUUAUCCAAAGGAGAACUAACUUGUAGUUUUUCAAUACUCUUGAUGAUUAAUAACUCAAAUAACAUUUUCUACUUUUAUGUUU